rnacentral:rRNA from 1 species
GUCUACGGCCAUACGACCCUGAACGCGCCCGAUCUCGUCUGAUCUCAGAAGCUAAGCAAGGUCGGGCCUGGUUAGUACUUGGAUGGGAGAAGGGCAGAGGGGGCAAUGCUGGAGAAGGUGGCCCCUGGAGCCA